CCUGGCUCAGGACGAACGCUGGCGGAGUGCCUAAUACAUGCAAGUAGAAUGCUGAAGGAGGAGCUUGCUUCUCUGGAUGAGUUGCGAACGGGUGAGUAACGCGUAGGUAACCUGCCUGGUAGCGGGGGAUAACUAUUGGAAACGAUAGCUAAUACCGCAUAACAGUAGAUAUCGCAUGAUAUCUACUUGAAAGAUGCAAUUGCAUCACUACCAGAUGGACCUGCGUUGUAUUAGCUAGUUGGUGAGGUAACGGCUCACCAAGGCAACGAUACAUAGCCGACCUGAGAGGGUGAGCGGCCACACUGGGACUGAGACACGGCCCUGACUCCUACGG
rnacentral:rRNA from 1 species